rnacentral:rRNA from 1 species
UAGGGAAUCUUCCACAAUGGACGCAAGUCUGAUGGAGCAACGCCGCGUGAGUGAAGAAGGGUUUCGGCUCGUAAAGCUCUGUUGGUAGUGAAGAAAGAUAGAGGUAGUAACUGGCCUUUAUUUGACGGUAAUUACUUAGAAAGUCACGGCUAACUACGUGCCAGCAGCCGCGGUAAUACGUAGGUGGCAAGCGUUGUCCGGAUUUAUUGGGCGUAAAGCGAGCGCAGGCGGUUUCUUAAGUCUGAUGUGAAAGCCCCCGGCUCAACCGGGGAGGGUCAUUGGAAACUGGGAGACUUGAGUGCAGAAGAGGAGAGUGGAAUUCCAUGUGUAGCGGUGAAAUGCGUAGAUAUAUGGAGGAACACCAGUGGCGAAGGCGGCUCUCUGGUCUGUAACUGACGCUGAGGCUCGAAAGCGUGGGGAGCAAACAGGAUUAGAUACCCUGGUAGGCCACGCCGUAAACGAUGAGUGCUAAGUGUUGGAGGGUUUCCGCCCCUUAGUGCUGCAGCUAACGCAUUAAGCACUCCGCCUGGGGAGUACGACCGCAAGGUUG